GACGAACGCUGGCGGCGUGCCUAAUACAUGCAAGUCGAACGCAGUGGGGACAGGUGAGUAACACGUGGGUAACCUCCCAUCAGAGGGGAUAACACUUGGAAACAGGUGCUAAACCGAUACUGAUGGAUGGACCCGCGGUGGAUUAGGUAGUUGGUGAGGUAACGGCUCACAAAGGCCACGAUGCAUAGCCUACCGGAGAGGGUGACCGGCCACACUGGGACGAGGACACGGCCCAGAAUCUGACGGGAGGCAGCAGUAGGGAAUCUUCGGCAAGGGACGAAAGGCGGACCGAGCAACGCCGAGUGAGUGAAGAAGGUUUUCGGAUCGUAAAACUUUGUUGUUAGAGAAGCGGUAUCUAACCAGAAAGCCACGGCUAACUACGUGCCAGCAGCCGCGGUAAUUC
rnacentral:rRNA from 1 species